rnacentral:misc_RNA from 1 species
CAAGAACUUGAACUAAUUAUAUCUAUUUUACACACAACAGAUGUUCUCAUAUAAUUUUAUUGUAUGGGACCUAUAGGUCUAUUAUAUCCUAAAACUCUAAAUUAUUGAAAAGAAAACAUUUUUUUUUGGCUGACUUGGCAUACUUUGCAACUUUGAUUAGGGUAUGGGAUUAGGAUGAAUAGAGCAGAGCAUUGACAGUCCAUCAAAGAUGUAGUUCAGAAAGGCCCUUAAUCUAGUUUAACAAAGGCCUAAAAACAG